rnacentral:tRNA from 1 species
GCUAAGAUGGCAGAGCUUGGUAAUUGCAAAAGGCCUAAGCCCUUUCAACAGAGGUUCAAAUCCUCUUCUUAGCU